rnacentral:lncRNA from 1 species
GCUGCCACCGACAGCGGCGCAGUGUAUAAUUAUACUCAAAGUUCGUUCGGCGUUUAUGGUCCGUUGCCCGGACACUGUGACACUCGGCAGCUGAAGAGCGGUGUUUAGGGAGCCCGUGAAAGCGUGACCGAAUCUUAAUCUUUUUGUCGCCACUCCACGAGGACCUGAGCCAUUCCUCGGUUCUUCGACAAACAGUUCAUCGGUCCCUCUAUCAAAUUUCUGCCGCAGCCCCCAGUUUCAUUUCCGAGAAAUGAUCUGGCCCAAUAAUGGAGCGGGGAAAAUUUUGACCAUGACUUGUGACUCCCACUUUUCGGAGACUUUGUAUUCGUGAAAAUGUGACACUUUCGGAAUAUGGAUCAAAGCAGGCUAUUUUUCUGGACCGUGGCUAUCUACUCGUUUUUUCUGUGCAGUCCACACUUCGGCAAUGCUCAACAUCGCGGUACUCCUAAAGUAGAAUCUCAGCAAGCCAAUGGUGGAUUUACCGAUCAAAAACCUGCCGGCGCUGAUUCCCCACCACACAGAAAGAGGCGUUACCUGACAUUCAACAAUGAUCAGAGCAAUAUUAGAGUAGAAAUGGUAUUUGCAGUGCCAGUUUUGGCCAUUCCUAUUGGAGGUAAAGACUCUUCUGACGAAGUGCCAACGUUUCCAACAAUCGACAUAAACACUAAAUCAAUUCUGGCCACUGGAGUGAUUAUGUUCAUGCUCUUCUUCAUUAUUCCCACUUUGGUCCGGCUCUACUUCCCGAUGCCGAGUUCAGACAGCUCCUCUGGUGGCCAUGGUCGCUCCUAUACACGAUCAGGACGAGAAGAUAUAUUCCAGCUCUUAUCGCGCUUUGAAGAAACUAUGAAAAACUUCAACAUCGAUUCUGGGCAGUGCAGUCAAAAAGUAGUUUGCUGGAUGGUUUCGAAUGCAGCCAAUAGAGUGUCUGCGUCCAAAGCUACCAGCUUCGAUAAAAUCAUCGACGGCAUCUCGAGUUUCAGUUGGGUGCAGUACAUGCUGGAAGAUUCACCUUACGGCGAAGCACUCAGCCUGGGGCAAAAUAGAGAUUGUGACUACUACAACAAUAAAUGCUCCAUCACAUCAAAUAAACUCACGGUUGCUGCUAAUUCUUUGUUGAAUGCUAUCAAAAAGUCAAAACGCGAAGAAUCAGCACGGAAUCCAUCAUCGUAG